UGGGGAAUAUUGCGCAAUGGGCGAAAGCCUGACGCAGCGACGCCGCGUGAGGGAUGAAGGUCUUCGGAUCGUAAACCUCUGUCAAGGGGGAAGAAAGGCGCGGGUGUGAAUAAUACCUGUGAUUGACGGUACCCCUAAAGGAAGCACCGGCUAACUCCGUGCCAGCAGCCGCGGUAAUACGGAGGGUGCGAGCGUUGUCCGGAAUCAUUGGGCGUAAAGCGUUCGUAGGCGGUAUAUCAAGUCUGGUGUUAAAGCCCGGGGCUCAACUCCGGUUCAGCAUCGGAUACUGGUAAACUAGAAUGCGGUAGAGGUAAGGGGAAUUCCUGGUGUAGCGGUGAAAUGCGUAGAUAUCAGGAGGAACAUCGGUGGCGAAAGCGCCUUACUGGGCCGUUAUUGACGCUGAGGAACGAAAGCCGGGGGAGCAAAUG
rnacentral:rRNA from 1 species